GCCAGUGUGGUGUUGUGGUUUGAACACUGGACUGCAGCUCUGGAGAUCAGGGUUCGAGUCCUUGCUUGGCCA